rnacentral:rRNA from 1 species
GACGAACGCUGGCGGCGUGCCUAACACAUGCAAGUCGAGCGAAUGAAGUUCCUUCGGGAAUGGAUUUAGCGGCGGACGGGUGAGUAACACGUGGGCAACCUGCCUCAUAGAGGGGAAUAGCCUUCCGAAAGGGAGAUUAAUACCGCAUAAGAUUGUAGUACCGCAUGGUACUGCAAUUAAAGGAGCAAUCCGCUAUGAGAUGGGCCAGCGGCGCAUUAGCUAGUUGGUGAGGUAACGGCUCACCAAGGCGACGAUGCGUAGCCGACCUGAGAGGGUGAUCGGCCACAUUGGGACUGAGACACGGCCCAGACUCCUACGGGAGGCAGCAGUGGGGAAUAUUGCACAAUGGGGGAAACCCUGAUGCAGCAACGCCGCGUGAGUGAUGACGGCCUUCGGGUUGUAAAGCUCUGUCUUCAGGGACGAUAAUGACGGUACCUGAGGAGGAAGCCACGGCUAACUACGUGCCAGCCGCCGCAGUAA